GUUUUCUUCAAGCGUGAAUGGAAGAGGAAUUGGCCUUUCUUGGUUGGAUUCGCUGUCACCGGAACUUUGAUUACCAAGUUUUCACUUGGUCUCACUGAGGAGGAUGCCAAAAACUCAAAUUUUGUUAAAGCGCACAACAGGUGAUUUAUGAAGUGAAGAAUGACUCUGGCUUUGUAUGCCGAAUUACAUGUAAAAAGAGAGCUUUGCUCGCUUUAGAUUUACAAAUUGAAAUAACAGAAGGGAGAUAUUUUACAUACUCUCUUCAUGUUCCUUUAUCCAAAUUUGGUUUUUACUUAAAUGUGCUUUUAUAAGUUCAUACUAUACAGUUCUGAAUCAUAAGAUUAACAUGUUUUCAUCAUGA